GCUACACAAUUUAAAAGGGGCUUGAGCCCAAACUAAUACUUAUUCAAAUAAUAUCCCCAGCCCAAUCCCAAUUCCUUUUGAGCCCAAGAUCCUAAAUUCUUCCUUCCGCCGUCAGAACCCCUUCUCCUCACCCUUUCACGCUGAAUUCUUCUUACUGCAACGAAAUAUCUUUUCAAAAUUUAAAAACAGUCAUAGCAUCAAUUAAUCCCAAAUUAAUUGAGCAAUCAAACACCAAAAAUUACUCCCCUCCAACGUCUCAGCACUAUUCAUCUCUUCACCCAUUCUUGCAAGAAAAAAAAAUCUUUUCUAAUUUUAUACCGCAAUCAAGGUGAAACCAAUCACCAAAACUAGCUCUCAGUACACGGCUAUAUAAAUCCCCAUACCCUAAUCUCCUUCCCUCACACAAAUUCGCAGCCACUCACUUCUCACUGUUGAAUCACAAAGCGGCGGAGGGAGCAGUAGAAAGGAAUUUCAUUUUUCCUCACCAAAUCCAAAUUUCAUCUUGAAACUAGGAUCGAUUCGGGAGGGGGAGAAGCCAGAAGCUUCAAUCUUUUGUUUACCCCGAAGCCCUUCUGACAGAAACUAGGAUCGAUUCGGGAGGGGGAGAAGCCAGAAGCUUCAAUCUUUUAUUUCAAGCCAAUUUGUUCUUUUGAAGGGUGAAAUCGGGGCUGCCGGAGCAGGCGCGGUCUCGGCAGACAACAGCGCGGCGGCAACAACGGUACGAACCGCAAGGACAGCAGGGGGUCUCCACCCUGUUGACUGACGGUGAGUGAUCUCGAAGCAGCGAUGUAAUACGUGUAUGCUUGAGUUAAAAUUGGGGGAGAAAUGAAACAGAGAGAAAGAAAAAUUGGGGAAGAAAUGAAACAAAGAGAAAGAAGGCAGUAGGCGUAAAUUUCUGGGAAUUCGAGUUUUGCCAUCCUUUUGUUUUAUAAUUUUUUUUUUAAAAUGGAAGUGAGGGAGUAUAUAUACAGUACGUGUAUUUAUAAAAAUGGGAGUAUUGGUUUUUUUCUCUUUUUAUUUAUUUAAUGUUUGAUGUAUGUGAUCUGUAAAGGAGUGUAUGUGUAGUAGUUAGGAGGGGAGUAAUUAUUUAAUUGUUUAUUUCUUCAAAUUCUGGGAUGGUGAUAUUGUUAUUAUAUAUUUUUUUAUAUUAGUUGGUGAUCUUUUAAAGAAAAUGGGAUGUGAGUGUACACGUGUGCUUAUAAAAUGGGAGUAUAUUAUUACUUUCUUUGGGGCCUUUUAAUUAACUUGGUUUGGGCUUGAGAGAAAUUGCUCUACGAUACUUGAUUAUUGGGCCUUUGUUCUAAAUUAAAAAUUUGGCUGAAUGAAUUUUGUUGAUUGGGCUAGGAGGCCUAUAACCUUGUUUCUCGUGGUCGGAUUGAAAUUAAUUAAAUUCAAAAUUUAUCGAAAAGACCAAGCCCUGAUUGGGAAGAAUUCAUAAUCAUAUCAAUGAAAUGCUUGAAGCCUUAGGAUGCAUCCAUCUUACUCGUUACUUGAUUCAUUGUGUUGAUUUAUGUGUUAUCUAAAUGCUAAAGGUGAAUCCUCGCAAGCGAAACGUGAUACCAAGGGGAAGAAAAUACUUGUGAAUUAUGAACUCGAGGUGGGCUUUCUUUGAAUAAGGACAUUGUCCUAACUACUUUUAUCAAUGGGAAUGAAAUUUGUAUUUAUCAUGCCGUGUUUUUUUUACGUGCCUAUCUGAAAUGGUCUGUUCCAUUUAUAUUUAAUCGAAUUCGGGUCCUUGUAGGGCUGCAAACCCUUUUUGGAUUAGUGUACACCUAUGGUAGACUGUGUGCCAGCGUACGGGUUGGCCUGUCUAGUGACUUGGUUUGUGGCCACAUUUCUUGUCAUGUAUCAGUAGAUAUGGUUAACGUCUAUGGGAAAAUGACUGAUCAGUCGACUUUUACUAUGGGAAAUGAUUUUGAGUGCCUCGGGCCUUCCUAAAGCUAAACCCCGAUGGUUACUUACGUA